rnacentral:rRNA from 1 species
UACAGAGGUCUCAAGCGUUGUUCGGAUUCAUUGGGCGUAAAGGGUGCGUAGGUGGCGCGCUAAGUCAGGUGUGAAAUUUCGGAGCUUAACUCCGAAACUGCAUUCGAUACUGCCGUGCUUGAGGACUGGAGAGGAGACUGGAAUUUACGGUGUAGCGGUGAAAUGCGUAGAUAUCGUAAGGAAGACCAGUGGCGAAGGCGGGUCUCUGGACAGUUCCUGACGCUGAGGCGCGAAAGCUAGGGGAGCAAACGGG